rnacentral:rRNA from 1 species
UACGAAGGGGGCUAGCGUUGCUCGGAAUCACUGGGCGUAAAGGGUGCGUAGGCGGGUCUUUAAGUCAGGGGUGAAAUCCUGGAGCUCAACUCCAGAACUGCCUUUGAUACUGAGGAUCUUGAGUUCGGGAGAGGUGAGUGGAACUGCGAGUGUAGAGGUGAAAUUCGUAGAUAUUCGCCAAAGAACCACCAGUGGCGAAGGCGGCUCGCUAGGACGGUACUGACGCUGAGACGCGAAAGCGUGGGGAGCGAACAGG